rnacentral:pre_miRNA from 1 species
UAGGGCAAUAAUUAUCCUGGUUUGCCUGGGACUGAAGGGUUUCCCAGAACACACAACUUGGAGUGCUAAAACCAAGACAGUCCCAGGUGAACCAGGAUGGUUGGUCACCCUAAGUCUAC